rnacentral:misc_RNA from 1 species
CUGGCUGCAAUAAUAUCUGGGCUGUUUCCCAUACCAAUUGCGAAACUUUUUAUUUUAUAUGGCAAUUUCAUCUCCUUUGCAUGUUUUACAAGUAAAGCAGCAAUUAAACUGGAAUCUAGACCACCUGAUAGUAAACAACCAACUUCUCUGUCACACAUCAAUCUUUUUUUCACAGCAACCGAAAGUAGCUUUCUUAUAUUUCCAUAUACAUCUGUACUAUUCAAACCUGAAAUAUAAUUUAUUAGAUUAUUUUGUUUGUUUAAGGUUUAUAAAUACUACAAUAUUACAUAUUUCAACAAACUAUUAUAAGGAACAAAAGCUGCAAAAUGAGGCUUGUCUCCAGUGUCUGAGUCCGUUCGAACUAGUUGGCAAACGACGGAAGUUGUUUAUGAUAGGAUGAUAAGAAGCCGAACGUAUCUUUAAAUGACAGAUUUAAUCAGUAUUCGAUAGCUCAUAGAUGACUCGCAAUAUUUGAUUGCAAUAGUAUGUGUACAUGUACAAUGUUGCCAUUUUCAAUGUUCUCACGAGCGUGGGUUCCGAAUUAGGUGGAUAACCCUGUAUGUAAUUGCUAACUUCUAAAUUCAUCUCAGCUUUGAGCCACAACUGUCAUUCUAUUUUCGUCUUUU